rnacentral:tRNA from 1 species
AAGGUCUUAAGUUAAAAAAACUAGUAACCUUCAAAGCUAUCAAUAAAGAACGUCUCUUUAGGCCUUA